rnacentral:rRNA from 1 species
CGUACCUAAAGGCGACGACGGGUAGCCGGCCUGAGAGGGCGACCGGCCACACUGGGACUGAGACACGGCCCAGACUCCUACGGGAGGCAGCAGUGGGGAAUAUUGCACAAUGGGCGAAAGCCUGAUGCAGCGACGCCGCGUGAGGGAUGACGGCCUUCGGGUUGUAAACCUCUUUCAGCAGGGAAGAAGCGAGAGUGACGGUACCUGCAGAAGAAGCGCCGGCUAACUACGUGCCAGCAGCCGCGGUAAUACGUAGGGCGCAAGCGUUGUCCGGAAUUAUUGGGCGUAAAGAGCUCGUAGGCGGCUUGUCACGUCGGAUGUGAAAGCCCGGGGCUUAACCCCGGGUCUGCAUUCGAUACGGGCAGGCUAGAGUUCGGUAGGGGAGAUCGGAAUUCCUGGUGUAGCGGUGAAAUGCGCAGAUAUCAGGAGGAACACCGGUGGCGAAGGCGGAUCUCUGGGCCGAUACUGACGCUGAGGAGCGAAAGCGUGGGGAGCGAACAGGAUUAGAUACCCUGGUAGUCCACGCCGUAAACGUUGGGAACUAGGUGUGGGCGACAUUCCACGUCGUCNCGUGCAUGCAGCUAACUGCGAUC